CUGCGAGGUAGAGGUGAUGGUGGCACCGUUGACUUGGAGACAGACAGACACGGGAGUAGCAACACUUGAGAGAGAAAAGAGUCAUCACCGCCCCCCUCCCUGAAACUAAAUAAUCAAAGAUAUUAACCAUGUACUUACCUUUUUUCCAGUGUCCUGCAUCCUUACAGCUCACCACCCCUCUUCCUUUUCAGUCAGCAAGCACGCUGACGCUUUGCCAACUUAUCGUCCAAUCAGAUGCUUCUCACAGAGAAGCAUUGUGGACAAAAAGUGCAAGUGCGGCAAUUGUCAUCAACCACUAAUCAAAUGCUUCUCAUAGGGAAGCAUUGAAACCAAUACUUCUCUAUGCAAUGCUUGAGGAUGGCGACCAUCAGUACUGAGUCUGACUCCGUUGUGGAAGCUCCCUCUAGUGGCUGUCAGUGUAGCAGCCACUAGAAGUGUGUUUAGCUGUGCAAUGUAAACAUUGCCAUAUUUCCAACACUGCCAUGUUUUACAUUGUAGGAGCAAAACGGCAGGGACACCUCACCCAGACCACUUCAUUGAGAUGAAGUGGUUUGGGUGCUUACUGUGUCCCUUUAAGUCGACGAUUCUUAACCUGUCUUGUUGGGAACAAAAUAAUAUACAAGACUUAGUCUUCAGUUAUAAUAGUAGUUCAUUGACCCAUUCUUCAACUCUAAUAUAAUAUAAUACGUGAUAAAAUUAAUUCCGCAAAAUCCCCUCAUUAGAUUCUGUUCCUCUGAAGAUGCCAAUGCUUUUACAAUACAUUAUCGUGGGCAGUAGACUGAAAGCUGAUCAAAAUUACGUACC